rnacentral:lncRNA from 1 species
AUUUAUGCAGUCUAAAUAGUAUUUUAUUAGUUUUCUGGAAGGAUGCAAAAGUCAUACUGGGCUUUCUGUGUAUAGUGAAUGCUAAAGGAUGCAAUAGUAUUUGUACAGUCGGGAAGUGUCAUUCUCUAUGUUUACCAACUGGACUCACCCUCUUAAGAGAUCUAACCCUUGUCACCGUAAGAAAAAAAGCAAAGAGUGUUAUGAGGCCAUAAAGUUUGAAUUCAGAGAAGCAUAUGCUGAAGAACACCAGAAUUAGUCUUCAUGAACCAUUAUCGCCUUGUUGAUGAUGCUUCACCUUCACAUGUAAGUUUUUGGUCCAUUGAGACAAGGUCUUUUAAUUAUUCAGAAG